rnacentral:rRNA from 1 species
GAUGAACGCUGACAGAAUGCUUAACACAUGCAAGUCAUUGGCGAAGCUGCGCUUGCGCAGUCUAGCCAAGGCGGACGGGUUAGUAACGCGUAAGGAAAUUUCCCUGCAGACAGGGAUAACAGACGGAAACGUCUGAUAACACCUGGUAUUGUCAGGCUGGCGCAUGCCGGCCUGAUGAAAGGAGACGCUGCAGGAUAGCCUUGCGUCCUAUUAGCUAGUUGGUGGGGUAAUGGCCCACCAAGGCGAUGAUAGGUAGCCGGCCUGAGAGGGUGAACGGCCACAAGGGGACUGAGAUACGGAGAUUACUCCGAGGGGAGGCAGCAGUGGGGAAUAUAGGACAAUGGGGGCAACGCUGAUCCAGCAAUUCUGUGUGCACGAAGAAGGUUGUCGGAUUGUAAAGUGCUUUCAGCAGGGAAGAAGAAAGUGACGGUACCUGCAGAAGAAGCGACGGCUAAAUACGUG